GACGAACGCUGGCGGCGUGCCUAAUACAUGCAAGUCGAACGAGAGCGCCCGGUGCUUGCCCUGGUCAAUCUAGUGGCGAACGGGUGAGUAACACGUGGGUAACCUGCCCAUCAGAGGGGGAUAACAUCCGGAAACGGAUGCUAAAACCGCAUAGGUCUUCGAACCGCAUGGUUUGAAGAGGAAAAGAGGCGCAAGCUUCUGCUGAUGGAUGGACCCGCGGUGCAUUAGCUAGUUGGUGAGGUAACGGCUCACCAAGGCCGUGAUGCAUAGCCGACCUGAGAGGGUGAUCGGCCACAUUGGGACUGAGACACGGCCCAAACUCCUACGGGAGGCAGCAGUAGGGAAUCUUCCGCAAUGGACGCAAGUCUGACGGAGCAACGCCGCGUGAGUGAAGAAGGUGUUCGGGUCGUAAAACUCUGUUGUUAGAGAAGAACAAGUGCUAGAGUAACUGUUAGCGCCUUGACGGUAGCUAACCAGAAAGCCACGGCUAACUACGUG
rnacentral:rRNA from 1 species